rnacentral:misc_RNA from 1 species
UCGGAAGUAAAUUGCACGACGGGAUAUUUCCAAAUCAACACACGCACGUGGUCGAAGCAUUUCAUUUCAACAAGCAACUUGAGCAAUUAUGGGACGACCAGGAUUUUCUCCUCGAGGAGACCGGGGUGGUUUCCGUGGACGGGGAGGGUUCAGAGGGGGACGAGGUGGUGACAGAGGAGGGCGUGGUGGGUUUGGAGACAGAGGAGGACGAGGUGGACGGGGUGGUUUCCGUGGAGGACGCGGCGAUUCACGUGGCUUCCGUGGCGGCGGUGGUAGAGGAGGAUUUGGCGGUCGAGGAGGCAGAGGAGGCCGUGGAGGCAUGCGAGGAGGGAGGAAGGUUGUCGUGGAGCCUCACAGACAUGAAGGUGUCUUUAUCGCAAGAGGAAAGGAGGAUGCUUUGGUGACACUCAACCUCACACCUGGUGAGACUGUGUACGGGGAGAAGAAGAUCAGUGUUGAGGAAGGGGAGACGAAGAUUGAGUACAGAGCCUGGAAUCCCUUCAGGUCGAAGUUGGCUGCAGCCAUCUUGGGUGGUGUGGAGAAAAUUCAUAUGAAACCUGGGGCCAAAGUUUUGUAUCUUGGUGCAGCUUCAGGAACGACAGUCAGCCAUGUGUCCGACAUUGUGGGACCUGAGGGUUUAGUGUAUGCUGUAGAAUUCUCACAUCGAAGUGGCCGCGACCUCAUCAAUGUCGCCAAGAAGAGGCCUAAUAUCAUCCCAAUCAUAGAGGAUGCACGUCAUCCCCAUAAGUACAGGAUGCUUGUUGGUAUGGUGGACACAAUCUUCGCAGAUGUUGCCCAGCCAGAUCAAGCCAGAAUUGUCGCCAUCAACGCUCACAUGUUCCUGAAGAAUGGUGGGCACGUAGUUAUCAGCGUGAAGGCAAACUGCAUCGACUCGACAGCCGAACCCGAGGCCGUGUUCGCAGGGGAGGUUAACAAACUGAAGACUGAGAAGAUAAAGCCCCAGGAACAGUUGACGUUGGAACCAUACGAGCGUGACCAUGCUGUGGUUGUAGGCUGUUAUAGAGCACCAAAGAAGUAAACAAUACACCUGGCAAAGUCGGGAUGUAGUGUGAUGAGGACAUUUGACAUCUCCAAGCUGAGGAUGAAGAAACUGUUCAAACCUUCAUCAUUACAAUGAAAUGAGUAUAGAUUCUGAUGAAGAUUGCCGACAUGCCAAGUGUAGGGGCGUGUCAUUCUUCAAGCCAUGUGUACGGGCGUGUCAUUCUUCAAGCCAUUUUCAAGCCGUGAUAUUAUUGGAAUAUUGCUAAAAGCGGCGUGAAACCCAACUCACUCAAGUCAUGUGCUUGAGUAUGCCAUUCUUCAAGCCAUGUGUAGGGGAGUGUCAUUCUUCAAGCCAUGUGUAGGGGAGUGUCAUUCUUCAAGCCAUGUGUCGGGGCAUGUCAUUCUUCAAGCCAUGUGUCGGGGCAUGUCAUUCUUCAAGCCUUGUGUAGGGGCGUGUCAUUCUUCAAGCCAUGAGUUUCAAGCCGUGAUAUUAUUGGAAUAUUGCUAAAAGCGGCGUGAAACCCAACUCACUCAAGUCAUGUGCUUGAGUAUGCCAUUCUUCAAGCCAUGUGUAGGGGAGUGUCAUUCUUCAAGCCAUGUGUAGGGGAGUGUCAUUCUUCAAGCCAUGUGUCGGGGCAUGUCAUUCUUCAAGCCAUUACUUGUCUGUCAUUUCUUGAUUUUAAUGCAUCAUCAUCAUGAACUGUGCUGAGGGGGUUUGACUUAAUCAUGUGUAUUAAAGAGCUACAGGGAUUUAUCUAGAUCUACUUGGGUGUCCAUAGUUGGCCCCAAAUCAGCAGCAAAUAUUCGCUCUAAUUUCCUAAAUGGGUGACACCC